ACAAAGCAUCAACAGGGGGACUGUUAAUAAUAAGCAUCAAUCUCUUGUUGAAAGGAACAUAGCAGUAUAAUAAUAAUGAAAACAAUGGCAGGUGACAGAAGGCCAGAUAUCAAAUAAUAGGAUGUCAGAGCCCUGAAAAGCCUAAGUGCUUAAUCAUGAUUCCAUAGAACUCCAGGAGAGGUUUGCUAUUUUUUUCAAAGAAUUCAGGGUUCGAUCAUGGCUAUACUUGAUUAAACAGGUUCCAAUGGAUAAUAUUCUGAAUGUAAGGUAGAGUGAGAAUGCUAAGAAGUGGAUGAGGAAUCUAAUAAGGUUGAUAUACACGUUAGAAGUAAAAUAUGAAUUUGUCAGGAAUACAUUUCCUCUGCACUUCAUCCUGGCACAAUCCUGGUUGAGACAGUGACAUUCUCUCACUCAGCCAGUUCAACUAAAUGUUCAUAUGUUUGAGCAGGUGCAUAUGAGACAUGGAAAGAAAUUACUGAAGAACUGGACAUUUUUGCCUUAUGCUCAGAAACAUUUUAGCGAUCAUUACAUAUACGUGUCAAAAAGAUAGUUCAGUGGCUUGAUAACAUGGAGUACAUGCUUCAGAAAACCUUGCACCUUUUCUGUCACCUGCGAGAAAUGUAUUGCUCAUUAUUCAGAAUGAAAAGCCCUUUGGAGAUGAUGAAGACAUCGGUUUUUAUAUACUGGUGGACUGUUCUCUGCUGAGGGCCACAUACACAGAACAAUGAGUGAAUGCAUCAAAGGCUAAAAAAGAGAUGAGCUCUUGCAGUCUCUAGGGCAGUUCAAAAACUGUAGUUAAGAGCACACAACAACAACCUAACUUUGAAUUUGGAAACAUCACUUUCCUAAGUGUAAACUAGGUACGAAGGAUAACACAGAGAGAGAGAGGAUUUAUGCUACAGCAGGGAAUAUGUGGGCCAAUGACUCCCAAUCUCUCCCAAAUCCUGGUUGUACCCAACCCCUGAGUACCAACUGUAGAUACCGUGCAUAUAGCAUUAAUGCUUCUCUGUUAAAUCAAGCAGAUAUUCUGCUGUGAUCUAAUGAAUUCACUUUCCAUAACUAAAAUUAUUAAAAAGUCUUUGCUAAUGGUAUCUGACAUAAAUAAGAGCACUGAAAGGCAUUUUCUGCAGGAGAACCCUCAUCAAUAUUUGCCUGUAUUCUGCUGGCUCCCUGUGGUGUUAGCAGUACUAACAAAAUAGAACCUUAAUU